CCCUAUGUUCUAUUUUUAGCCGUGGCGGCCAUCUUGGUUGGUUGACCGGGUCACGCCACACAUUUUUUAAACUAGAUACCCCAAAGAUGAUUGUGGCAAAGUUUGGAUUAAUUUGGCCCAGUAGUUUCAGAGGAGAAGAUUUUUGUAAAAGAUUACUUAGAUUUAUGAAAAAUGGUUAAAAAUUGACUAUAAAGGGCAAUAACUCCUAAAGGGGUCAACUGACCAUUUCGGUCAUGUUGACUUAUUUGUAAAUCUAACUUUGCUGAACAUUAUUGCUGUUUACAGUUUAUCUCUAUCUAUAAUAAUAUUCAAGAUAAUAACCAAAAACAGCAAAAUUUCCUCAAAAUUACCAAUUCAGGGGCAGCAACCCAACUAUGGGUUGACCGAUUCAUCUGAAAAUUUCAGGGCAGAUAGAUCUUGACCUGAUAAACAUAUUUACCCCAUGUCAGAUUUCCUCUAAAUGCUUUGGUUUUUGAGUUAUAAGCCAAAAACUGCAUUUCCCCCAUGUUCUAUUUUUAGCCGUGGCGGCCAUCUUGGUUGGUUGACCGGGUCACGCCACACAUUUUUUAAACUAGAUACCCCAAAGAUGAUUGUGG
rnacentral:lncRNA from 1 species